GCCCAAGCCUGCUGGCCUGUCUUGGUGUCUCCUCCCAACAGACACAGGCUCAAGUCCCUAGAGAGGUGCACAAGGGACAGAGGACAGCACAGAAGCGGGGAGGGCAGGCCGGGGGCAGAGGUCCCCACACACAACUCUCACUCCCUUCCCUGACCCUCCAGCACCGAGCUCCUGGCUGCCCGGGCCCAGCCCUGCCGCUGACACCCUCCGGGGACAUCACCAAGUCCUGGCUCAGAGAUCACCUGGCCCUGGAGCCUGCUGCCAAGCCUCAGUCACCCUCUGCCCAACCACAUGGGGAAAGAGAAGGCCCAGCUGCACUUCAAGAAAAGCCGUGGGCAGGUGUGGUACUGCACACCUAUAAUCUCAGCACUUGGGAGGCUGAGGCAGGAGGAUCACCAUAACCUUGAGGGCAGCCUAGGGCUAGUAAGACCCUGUCUCACAAAACCAAACACACACACACACACACACACACGCGCGCGCACGUGCGGACGCACACGCACACAUGCUCCCCGCAUGGCUGAGGUGUGUACAUUGGGGCUGCUGCCCAUGAACCCCACGGGAAGAACAGCUCCGGGCGCACAGCUCGGCAUCUCAGCAAGGCCUCCCGUCCUCGCCACUCCCCCAGGGGCCCCAACACUGCUGCGGGGGUGUUACUGUGACCCUUAUUUCAGAGAGGGCUACCAAGGCUCAGAAACCCCGUGACAACCCAAGCCAUGGGACCAACAGAGUCCGGCCUGACCUGGUAUCUACUGGGUUUGCUCAGCCACACGGCCCUUGGUGGAGGACAAUUGUUACAGGGACAUCACUGAUCACUGCACCACACUGCCCCGCACCCACUGGCUUCCUGUUUCCCUGCUGCUCCCCCUGCCAGGGCACAGGUCUCCCUAAGGCUCCCGGGUCAUUGUCUGUCCCUGUUGUCAUUCACCAUCCCCUGCUGUGCUACCAAGCCAGGUCCAGAUACAGAGCAAGGGCUCCAGGAGAAACACUGUCGCAUAGUUUAGUGGCCCGGUGUCGGUUCCAUGGCAUUUGUUGCGGUUUAUAUCCC
rnacentral:lncRNA from 1 species